GAUGAACGCUAGCGGCAGGCUUAACACAUGCAAGUCGAGGGGUAUAGUUCUUUCGGAACUAGAGACCGGCGCACGGGUGCGUAACGCGUAUGCAAUCUACCUUUUGCAGAGGGAUAGCCCAGAGAAAUUUGGAUUAAUACCUCAUAGUAUGUGAGAAUGGCAAUCAUUUUACACAUUAAAGUCACAACGGCAAAAGAUGAGCAUGCGUCCAUUAGCUAGUG
rnacentral:rRNA from 1 species